GACUUGGUCAAAGCUCCUCAG
rnacentral:miRNA from 1 species